GAUGUCCGUCCUGGAAUCUGCUGAAGCCACUCUCCCAACUAGGGGGUUACAGUUCCAAGUACUACUAUUGCAACUGGGACUACUACUGCCAUCACUUUCUACAAGCUCAGUUAACCUUGGUAUUUGUCCACCUUCUUAUGAUCUUUCUUGUUGAUGUUAUGGUGUCUGGGUAUUGCCACACACACAAGCACUGCAGUCUUCCCUUCUUUGUCUACCGCCACAUUGUCCAGUUGGUUGGCCAUUACUUGGUGGCUGCUACUUACUUGCCACACGAUUUUAGCCCUGUCAUUCUCAACUAACCUUUGUGAUCUAUACAUAGACAGGUUUAGC